rnacentral:rRNA from 1 species
UACGUAGGGUCCGAGCGUUGUCCGGAGUUACUGGGCGUAAAGGGCGCGCAGGCGGCGGUGCUGGCCCGGCGUGAAAGCCCCCGGCUCAACCGGGGAGGGUCGUCGGGGACCGCACCGCUUGAGGGCGGUAGGGGCCGGUGGAAUGCCUGGUGUAGUGGUGAAAUGCAUUGAGAUCGGAAAGAACACCAACGGCGAAAGCACUCUGCUGGGCCGACACUGACACUGAGAGACGAAAGCUAGGGGAGCAAAUGGG